UCCAUGAGACAGCGCUGGUAUAAAUAGAACUGGUCGAACCAGAUACUGCCAUUCGCAAAAAAAAAGUGUUCAAGUUUAGUCGCAGUGCCUAUGGAAAAAAAGUUAUAAAAUUGUAAAAAAAAGUAUUCAUUAUUGCUGGCUAGCAUAUAUAAUCAUCAACGAAAAAAUGGAAAAGUGUGGAAAACGUGUCGUAAAAGCGAAACAAAGGCCAUAUUCCAGCAUGGCAACAACGCCAACGUAGUCUUUGUCAAUGUCGGGCAAUAUUUGCUCAUAAGUUGAAACAAAGAAAUACGCUGGAAAAGUGUAUGAGUCAUCGAUUUCACCGUCAGCUUCGGGGCAUUUCACAAUGCGGAAGCAACUGGAAAGGCGCAGUUUCUCGUUUUUGGCUAGAAAGUAACUCCCUAGGCAGGAUGAGGCUAUCCAGGAGGUUCAGGAAACUCUCGAAACAGACUCAGUCGGGUGCAAUGGCGGCAGCCCAGACCUGCAGUGUACGUGGAAUUGAUAAUUUGGGAUAGGAAGCCAGUUGGGCGUUGAAAGUUGAUACGCAAACGCGUAGGCGAUCGAUCCAAGUAAAACUCUGAACUCUGUACCCUUCGCGAGCAAUAGGCAGAAGAAGUGCUGAAAAUGCACUUCGGCCCAUGUACGCGUUUGGCGUACGCGAAAGUUGUGGCAGCGACCCUGACUCAGCCUUAGUGUUGAUUGUCGGGGUCGCGGCUUGACCAGGGUGCGUCGUUUCUAUCAGAUUGAUUGUGCGGAUUGUGUUAUAGGAACUCCGGUGUAUCGACUUCUCUGCUCUACUAAGGGUGAACCCUACAAUGGGCCUUCUGUUGCUUACCUACCAUCGAACGAAUACCAAUACAUACCGGGCAGAUAUACGUAUAACUCUGUUCUGACAUCGAUCGAUUGAAACUGUUCACACGUCGUCUUUGGAGUAGCAAUUUAACCAACAAGUCCAAAACAAUGGCUGUUGCUUGCAAACAAUCUUUUCUGUGGCUAUACAUUUUGUGGUGAACUCUAAGCGGAAACAGUUCCACACCAACAAUGUGUUAAGUUCUUAAAUAUUUGAAAUUGUUUAAACUGUUUUUGUUUUUGUACACUCUACGACUUUAUAAUUACUUGUACCGAUGUAAAAUUACUUGUCGAAACAAAACAAAAAAUAAGAAAAUGGAAAAAAUGCUUAACAAAAGAGCUCAUCUAUAGAAAAGAAGCAACAAAAAAGUGAAUAAAAUUCAAUAAUUCCAAAAAUAAAUCUCGAAACAUUGCUCGUCAUAUUUUUUUUAUUUCAAGCUUAAAUUCAAUUUCAGUUAGAUCAUCCAACCGUUUUACAAAGCGUUGCAGCAGUUAGCUCAUCGAGGAAGGGUUGAUCUCAGUAUCUCAGUACACACCCGACUAAAACCGAAUACAUAAUUCUCUGUCCAUGACGCUCAACAUGAAGAAGGGGACAGUGAUCACCCUCAAAGCGAAAUAUUUUAAUUCAAUUCGUUAGUUCCUGAUAUCCCUUUUAGGUAAUGUUCAAACUUCAAAAGGCUGCCAAAGCAUAAAAGUACGUAAAUAUUUUACCUUCUAACCAUCUAAACAAUGUUUUAGUAAAACACUAUAGCGGAGUAUUUCGGAAUACAAAUUUGAGGACAUAGGAAAUAAUUAUUAAUUUCUUUACAACAAGACAAAAUUGGGAUGAUUAUGGCUCCACAUUGUAAGCUGAAUAUGGAAGUUUCCGGAAUAUAAUUUAUAAUGAAAGCAUACACACAUAUAAUUCUCAUAUGUUUACAAAAAUGUCCUGUCCAAAUAUAAUGUAAAAUUUAAAAAACUGCGAAAUUAUUGUCAAACACUUAAGCUUAAGCAUUAAACUGUUCCCUCUACCUGACACUCUUAAACUUCCCAAGUACCCAAAACAAUUUCAUAUUAAAAACUGCAUAGAACCAGUUUUAAACAGCACUGCGAUUAUACAAAAAAUAGCUUAUUCGAUCUCUUGAAACGAUCGGACCGCUUUCUCCAGCACUCUUAAACAUGGUAGGUAGGUCUUAUAUUGACAUGCAUAACUCUCUUAUUCAUCGAAAUGAUCUGAUUUAUUAUUUACAUCAAAAUCAUAUAGCAAUGUUUUAUAACUAUACAAAAACGGUAGGGAAAAAUAAUAUAUUGUUCAACAUAAUAGGUAGGUUUCAUUCCGUUAAUUUCAACAAGGUUUUUUUUUAUAUUACAAAUAGUAGCAAUAUCGACACCGGCGUAUAAUUCGAGGUGUCCCAAAUGUCCAUCAACUCGAGUUUCGCGGGGGGGCAUUUGCUCAAAUAUCCCGUAGAGGCGCUUCUGCUUUAGCAGAAGCACACACUCAAUCUACACAUGUAGGCGUUCUAGUUGAGCCCGUCCAGCACAUUUUUCCACGUCAUGGUCGUCAGUUUGUGGAUCCACUGUCGGGCGUAUCUCUACUCCCGCGAGUCGGUAUGGAACGCCUCCUCCGGCUGAGGGCUACAUCCGAGAAACGCAGUAAAAUCAGAGAACAGGAGAUUCAUCUUGGCUUCGUGGACGACCGAUGUCGCCAACCACUUCAUCUUCAAAUAUAAAUUCUCAAAAAAUGUAAACAAGUGAUGGAUUCAGAAAAUUUGGCAGAGAAUACUAUAAGUAUGGACGAUCCGAACAUAGACUAAAUUAAUAUCUUUGACAAUAUAAAUAUGAAAAUCAUCUACAUAUAUGGUAUCUUUUAACUAUUAUAUACUAACUAUAUAACCUUACAGAUCAAGAGUUUUCUACUUCCUAGCGCUUGUACUGUACUACAUAUAUUUCCCAGCCCGACUUCUGGUUUCAACCAAAAUAGGUAGGGUGAAUAAAAAUGUUUUUAAGAUGGUUUUGAUCUCGUGAUCGAUAUAAGAACAGGAUUUCGUGUACGGAUAGUGAUUUCUCAAUGAUAUCGGUAGGAAUUCUUCUCAUAUUAAUAUGUUAUAAUAAUACCCACUGCCCCCGUGCCUUACCCUUCCAUAUUCCAACCAUCUCUCCAUCUCUUCUUGAUUGCAAUGAAAAUCGAAAAUUAAUUUACAUAUUGGAGGAUAGGAACUUUUAUGUUAUCUUUAAAAUCUUAAGGUUAAGAACCACUUUCCCUCGUAACAUAAGACAAGGAUUUUCCACUAUAAUAGGUAGGGAUUGAAGCGCACUAAAAUUGCGUUCAGAUGUAAUAAAGAUGGUUCUGAUCUCUUGAUCAGAAACUGAAAUUAAUUUACGGCUCGUGAUUUCUCAACCUCGUCAAUCACUCUAAUAUACCUCUUAUGAUAAUUAAAUGCUUUUAUAUUAAUACCCACGUUUCCUCGUGACUUACCUUUCUAUAUAUCGACGGUAUCUCCAUUUCUUCUUGAUAUUUAAGGAUAGGGACUUUAAUGUUACCUAUAAAAUCUUAACCACUUUCCCUCAUGACAUACGACAAGGACAUAUGAUUUUUCACUAUAAUAGGUAGGGAUUGUAGUUUACCAAAAUAGGAAGGGUGCGUACAGAUGUUAUAAAGAUGGUUUUGAUCUCAUGAUCACUAUGAGACGAAAGAUUUAUUAACGGAUUACUAUUAUAUAUUAUAUUAUUAUAUAUUAUACUCAACUAUAUUUAUAUGUUCUUAUAUUAAUACCCACUUACCUCUGGACUCACCCUUUUAUACCGACCACCUCUCAAUCUCAUCUUGAUCACAAUGAAACCCGCAAUUAUUUUACAUAUUGGACGAUAGGGACUUUUAUGUAACCUAUAUAAUCUUAAGAUUAAGAACCAGUUACCGUCGUGACAUACGAAUAAUAUAUAUGAUUUUCCAUUAUAAUAGGUAGGGAUUGUAGCUCAC